rnacentral:lncRNA from 1 species
UUUGGAGUUAAAACGAAGAUUUGAGGUCCUAAGUUGCUAAAAUUGUGAAAUUUUGAUCAAGAGUUGACUUUGGUCAACAAACGAGGUUCCGGUGCUCGAAAUGGAAUUCCGAGGGCACCGUUGGAUUCAGGGGUGAUUCUAAGUCUAGAGUGAGUCUUGGUGGAAUUUUUAGAGGCCCCGAGUGCGUUUCGAGUUUUUGAGCCCAAAGUUAGUUUCUUGACGCCUUAUCGGAUACCGGGUCAAGGAGACCUCAAAUUCAAAUUCCGACGAUUUCAUUGAGUCCGAAAUGUUAUUUUCAAGCUAGUAGCAUAUUUGGUUUGUGUUUGGGAACGUGCCAAAUGAGUUUUGGGUGAGCUUUUAAGCUUCUUGGAUGCUUUGACACUAUUUCAGCAAAUUGUGG